AAAAUUAGGCCUUGGAAAAUUCUAUAAAUACAAGCCCAUUUCAUUCAUUUGAGGGGACCAAUUCAUAUUACACCUUGAAGCUCUGAAGCUCUGAAACUCCGAAGCUCUCAAGCAUCCAGGUGCCCGAAGAAUCAAGAAAGCUCUCUUCGUUCUUCGUUCAUCGUUCAUCCAAGAUCAAGCCCCCAACGGCCCUUUGGAUCAACAAUCAUCCACCAAUUCAAGA
rnacentral:lncRNA from 1 species